AUGAAGCUGGAGGAGUCCUACAAGGGUGAGCUCACUCUAGCACAAUUAGGCUGCACCCUCAAAUGGUUCGGCAUCAAGGGCACCAGGAUUUGCGAGGUGCUCCCUAACCUCCCCAUCACCCUCCUCUUACAACUGCUCAUCAAGACGCCGCCCUGCCAAGGCUUCGCCCAUGGGUGCCGCGGGAGCACGCGUGGAUACAACCACCUCGCGCCCCAGUGGCUUACGCCACGCCCCUGGACGGUGGCACUUCCCCGCGCCUCAGCAGCUUCACAACAACACACGACAGGGAAUUAG
rnacentral:rRNA from 1 species